rnacentral:rRNA from 1 species
GGGCCUAUAUUUUAAACCCCCGGGGGAAAUUAAAAACCCAAUUUUCUCUUGGAAAACCUUUGGCAAUUGGGGGUUUCCGAAAAAUUUGGACACAUGGCGGCUUCGGCUUGUCACUUAUAGGAUGGACCCGCGUCGCAUUAGCUAGUUGGUGAGGUAACGGCUCACCAAGGCAACGAUGCGUAGCCGACCUGAGAGGGUGAUCGGCCACACUUGGGACUGAGACACGGCCCAGACUCCUACGGGAGGCAGCAGGUAGGGAAUCUUCCGCAAUGGACGAAAAGUCUGACGGGAGCAACCGCCCGCGUUGAGUUGAUGAAAGGCUUUUCGGGGUCGGUAAAAACCUCUGUUGNUUCAGGGGAAACGAAAACACAGUUGGCUAAGGUUUUGAAAUUCAAGGCUUGGCACCCUUUUGGAACCGGGNUACCUUUAAACCCNGGAAAAGCCCACCGGCUUUAACUUACCGGUUGGCCCAGGCAGGCCGGCGCGGGUUAAUUCCCGGUUAGGUUGGCCAAGGCGUUUUUUCCNGGGNAAUUUCUNUUGGGGCGGUUAAAAG